rnacentral:misc_RNA from 1 species
UUGAAUAAACUUGAACAGGUUGUUGCUGGCUCUCCUUGUAGGGCAAUGUGCACGCUUGUCAUCUUUAUCUCUCCAACUGUGCACAUAGACCUUUUUUUUUUUGAUUCACUCGAGUUGGGACUGCUGUGCUUUCAAAGAGUCGGCUUUCCCUUUAGGUCCACACAAACACUUUUUAAUGUUGAAUGAAAUGAUAAUAAAAAAAGUUUAUA